GUAGUCAUUCCUUUUCUUCAGUCUCUACAAAAAUAAAUGGAAACCACUGAUCUUAGAAGCCUGGUCAGGGCAAGAAUGUAUCUACCAAACUCUUGACUAAAAAUCAACCAGAAAAAGACACACACGUGCUACAGGAAUCCUUGGAUCUGCAUUUUCAACUUACUCUUGACCACCACAUGUGGCUUUAUUCCCGAAGGACACGGUGGAUAUUUUGUGUGGCCCAAGAAAAGCAAAUGCUGGAAAAAAGCACUAGAAACUGCCCUUUGAAGUUUGCUACCAAGAUCUAAUAUCUUGACAGACCAAAUGGGUACUUGGUGCCUACUGAGAAGCCUUUACUCCCUUUACUCUUCCUCAGAUCAAUGAAGGACAAAUUGACUUCUCUGAAAAAGGAGGUGAAAAAUAGGCUACUUCCUAAGGAGCUCUGUGACUUCCUGAAUAUUCUCUUUUCUAAGACAGAGUGACCCUCAGGAGCCUGAGGAGAGAAGGCAAGGCACGCUGAGGUGAUCCUACAUCCUACACAGCCCACAGGGCUCCCAUGCUCCAGCAAUCACAAUGGAUUUUUAAACAGAGAUUCUGACUUCUUCUUGAUCUAUGAGGCAAUUUCUAAAUUUAAUGAUAUCCAAAAUCUUCCCAGCUGUAUCUCUAUCCUUGGGUCUGUGAAAUUCCAUGCAAAAAGUGCUCAGAAAGCACUCCAUUCAGUGAAAGAUUUGGGGAGUUUUGGAAAUACUCAAACAAAAUCUGUUUAAUUUAUAUAAACCCCCAGUGAGAAAAGCAUUAAGAAUGGAAGUU
rnacentral:lncRNA from 1 species